rnacentral:misc_RNA from 1 species
AACGCACAUUGCGCCCCUCGGUCCCCGAGGGGCACGCCUGUCCGAGCGCCAUCGUAGACACCUCGGGCCGCGUGCCCGCUGUUGGGCGGCGCCCCCUCACGGGGCCCCCCCGCAAACCCUCGGCGCCCCCGCCGGGACCCGAGCGCAACGAGCCCGCGAAGCCCGCGCCCGGGGCCCGGCCGGCGGCCGCCCUGACCCCAGCACGAAGGAAGGCCUCGGAUCAGGCGGGGUUACCCGCUGAACUUAA